rnacentral:rRNA from 1 species
AUUGAACGCUGGCGGCAUGCCUUACACAUGCAAGUCGAACGGCAGCACGGGAGCAAUCCUGGUGGCGAGAGGCGAACGGGUGAGUAAUAUAUCGGAACGUGCCCAGUCGUGGGGGAUAACGUAGCGAAAGCUACGCUAAUACCGCAUACGAUCUAUGGAUGAAAGCGGGGGAUCGCAAGACCUCGCGCGAUUGGAGCGGCCGAUAUCAGAUUAGGUAGUUGGUGGGGUAAAAGCCUACCAAGCCUUCGAUCUGUAGCUGGUCUGAGAGGACGACCAGCCACACUGGAACUGAGACACGGUCCAGACUCCUACGGGAGGCAGCAGUGGGGAAUUUUGGACAAUGGGCGCAAGCCUGAUCCAGCAAUGCCGCGUGCAGGAUGAAGGCCUUC